CGAAAACUUUGCACAAAGUGCGCCGUACAUGUCUUCGUGCGGCGUUUAGGUGGAUGCUGAGUGGAUCUGACACGGCUGCCCCAUGUUAGAGAGAAGGAGGGGUGUUCUUUGUCCCAAAGAGUGCAAACUGCAGGAGGAGUUUCUGUUACUGGAUCUUGCACUUGGCUGUAUAGCACAGUUUGAAUUUCCAGCACAGCUCCACAUCAUUAUUAAACAUUUGCUUGAACUUAUAUAGUCUAAAGUAUGUCCUGAGUUCUUCAAAAGUAAGUGAUUUCAUGAUUCUGUUGGUUUCCAGAAGACUCUUUUUAACUUUCCCAUUAUGGCACCUCAACCUUGUGUUUCUUGUUCUUUUUCUUUACAGUUCUCUUGGCAUCAGCGAGGUAUUUGUGACUAAAGAAAUAAUCUGCUUGAAACCUGGAUUUUUACUGUGUACAGUUGGGUGAUGCGUCAUCCUUUUGUACUCUUGUGACAUCCUUUUUCUUUUUUUCUGCGACCACCCCCCGCCCUGCACAACAGAGGAGGGGAUUCCUUCUCUCCUUGGUCUACUCUUUGUGCUGUUGGAAUGCUAAAGAUCCAAUGUUAAACCUCCCUGGGCAGUAUUUAGCAGAGUAUUUUAGAGGCUCAGGAGGAUAAGUGGCAUUUCAGGUCUGUUUGAAUGUAGAUCUCGUUUUAUGUUCAAACUUCUUCAGUUCCAUUUUCUCUGAUUGUCCUUUUCCCAAUUACUAAGCAAUAUUAAAGUUUGUUUAAAAAGUAAUCGUAUAGUAGUAAUCAAGUGUAAAGAGCUUUUUUUCUUCUUUUUUUUUUUGUAAACCACUACCCACUCUGUGACUUUCUACCUCACUGAUUGGCAUUUGCAUUCCUGUGCUCCAUUUAAGGGUGAAUCUAAUCACAUCCUGGGCUGUGAGUCAUCGUGUGGAUGAGUUGUGAAAUAAUCCCUCCUGAAUGAAAAUUACAAAAAAAAAAAAAAAAGGCUUUUAUGCAACACUCAAGCCCCCUCUUGAGGGGAUUCACAUAGAGUGAUUGAGGCCAGAGAUUCAGAGGCUGUUCUACCUCCUGAGACAAACUCAUUUAGCUAAAUUGCAGCUCCUUUUGUUUAAUAUGUAUGAAACAAAGAGUUGUUACACAAAAGGAGCAUUAGUGUUCAAAUCCACAAUUUUGAUAGGUGGAAUGUCUUCAGUUAAGAAAGUUGCUUACUUUGAAAUGUCAAAUUUCAAUUAUGGCAUUAAGCUAACAUAGCAGUAUAUAGUGACACAUGAUUCAUACUUCUUCAAUCUAAAAUCUGUCCAAUUGUCAUUAUAUUUCUAACUCUGAAUCCAAUAUCAGGCCAUUGGCUUUUUUCUAAAUAAUUUAUCUGGCCAUUAAUCGACUGUAACUUUAGAUCUCAAGGAAAUGUAUUUCACAUUUCAUUUAAUAAUACCAAACCUGUUUAACUGCUUCUGUCUUCAACACAUAUGUUCCGAGUAUGAAAGUAGCUUUGUAUAACUUGCAGUUCAAAAUAAUCCUUAUGUGCUUAAGUUGUAGCUCCUCAUCUAGUGC
ensembl:lncRNA